GCACGGCGGGUAUAGUGGUUCCGCAACCUUGGGAUGUUCGGCUGAGCGCCUGCCUAACAUGGGAGCGCCUGCCUAACCCUCCUGACUGGAGGGUCAGCGGCGGGGAGUCCUGGCCUUCAAUCGGCCAUCGCCACGGCAGAAACUGGGGCCCGGGCUGCGUCCAGGCCCUUCCCCGUCCGUCCACAGGUCUCAUGGGCGCCCGGACUGGGGCUGAUGUAGUUUCCCGACCUCUGACACAUAGGAUCUGGAGAUUAAAGCUGCUCUGCUAAUAAUUAGGUUCCCACCUCUCAAGAUCAUUAGGAGCUUCUUUUCCAAUUCCUCUGUUUUGCAUGCAUUGGAAGGAAAAUGGUGACGCCGAGGGUGACUGAUUUCCAGGUUUACAUCGGUUGCCCCAGGGGAAGUGCCUGGCCCCCAUCUGGUCCUUGCUGCUCUAACUUUGCCCUGUUAAUUGAAGAAAUGCAG
rnacentral:lncRNA from 10 species